GCUCUGGACCACAGUGCACGCACUACAGUCUGAACAAAACAGAAAAGAUGAGCUUGGUCCCUGUGCAAGGAUGCUGUGUGAUUGUGUGAAGCACCCCGUGUUUCC